CAAGAGAUGGGCUUGAGCAGGAGUGUUGCUGCCUUUGGCUGAAGAAUCAGUGCAGAAGUGGAGGUACGGGACACAGCAAGAAAAACUCACCUCGGCGGUGCCACCUCAUACAAAACCACUCUAACUCUUCACUCUACUCUGCGAUGCCCCCUCCGAUGACCAGAUGCCAGACUGCCAGGCCACCUUCUCCAAUGACUGGAAAAAUCUGGUUUUCAUUGAACCAGUCCAUUUCAAGCUUCUGAUCCCCAUUCUACCCUUUGGUGCAGCACAGUUCAAUCUAUCUGUUCUCAUGUUCCCCAAGACAUUCCCAGGGUUGAAGUUCCUUUGACUGUUUCACAUCUAAUAAAGAAAUCCCUUUGCUUUCUG